CUGUGCAAGUCCUACCAGCUGAAACACUGAAUAAACACACAAGAAGCCUUGUGCAGUGUAAAAGUCACAUGCAGUGUGAAUCUGUAUAGCCAGCACAACUCGGAGGAUUUCUUUGUGUACAAGUGUUUCAGUUUCCAGGAUCAAUUUAAACUCCCUCAGGAGAGAAACUCUUCUGGAGCAAGUAGACUGAAGAUGGUUUGGUCCAACUACUGUGAUGAAGGCUGGGUUCAAAGAAAAAGCCCCUACUGGCCUCUGGAUCAGGAGAUGCAGUGUGUCAUCAGAUAAACAGCUCAACAGUAAAGCGGUAGAAUUGUCUUGUCUCACCCCAGUUGUAGGAGAGAAGGUGCCAUGCCAGCCACAGUACCUGCCACCUACUAAACCUGAAGUUUGAAAAGCCCUAGAGAAAGGAUCAGUCUUUAGAUAGAUAGGUCCUAAUUUGCUGUUGAUUUCCCUUUACUGUGCUUGUUUGGCAUAACUGCUUCAGAGGUACUUACAUUGAUCCAGUCACAGCUGCCUUCAGACAGAGAAAUAAGCAGCAGAAGGAGUGGAACUUCUGAGAAAUGCACCUUCUGCUUUUGUUCAGCUGUUCCUGCCUCUUUCUCAGGAAAACUGAAGAUCAGAGGCUGAGGGGGAAUCCUGAACCAGGAGAAGAUAAAGAAAACUCACCUCACUCUUUGUAAGGUUGGAAGGGGCAGCAGGAGAUUGUCUAGUCCUAUCUCCUGUCCAAAGGAGGAUCAACUACAGCAGGCUUCUCUGGACCAUGAUCAGUUGGGUGGUAAAUAUCUCCAAAGAUGCAGACUUCAAAUGUCUCCAUGCAGUUUGUUCCG